rnacentral:piRNA from 2 species
UGAUUGCAAAGCAUUAAAUUUCGGUAGU